CUGGAAAACCGCUGAUUUUUGCAGAUGUGUCUGUGGGCGGGGCUUUUCAGGACCCCUCGCCUCAAACAGGAAGUAAACUGCGUGUAGACUCCAAGAACUACAAAUUAUUUUGUUAUCUGAUCGAUGCGAAAUACGUUGAGAUCUUAAGAAGUCACCGUCAGCAAGAGCCUCAGCGAUGAGAGAAAGAACCGAGUAGAAAAACCACAGAAAGCUGUAUGAGAAGUAAAAACAGCCUGUGCAAUAAAAGGUCAAUGGCAACA